UACGAAGGGUGCAAGCGUUGCUCGGAAUUAUUGGGCGUAAAGCGCACGUAGGCGGCAUUGCAAGUCGGAUGUGAAAUCCCUCGGCUUAACCAAGGAAGUGCAUCCGAAACUGCAGUGCUUGAGUACUUAAGAGGAUCGCGGAAUUCCCGGUGUAGAGGUGAAAUUCGUAGAUAUCGGGAGGAACACCAGUGGCGAAGGCGGCGAUCUGGGAAGAUACUGACGCUGAGGUGCGAAAGCGUGGGGAGCAAACAGG
rnacentral:rRNA from 1 species